rnacentral:rRNA from 1 species
AGCAGCCGCGGUAAUUCCAGCUCCAAUAGCGUAUAUUAAAGUUGUUGCAGUUAAAAAGCUCGUAGUUGAAUUUUGGAUUCUUCCAAUUGGUCCAUCUUUUAGAUGAGUACUGGUUGUGUGGGGUCUAUCCGCCUGGUGAUACGUAAUGUCCUUUAUUGGAUGUUGCGGGUAGUCAGGACCUUUACCUUGAAAAAAUUAGAGUGUUUAAAGCAGGCUUAUGCCGGAAUACAUUAGCAUGGAAUAAUAGAAUAGGACGAAGUUGUUUUAUUUUGUUGGUUUCUAGGACAACCGUAAUGAUUAAUAGGGAUAGUUGGGGGCAUUAGUAUUCAAUUGUCAGAGGUGAAAUUCUUGGAUUUAUUGAAGACUAACUACUGCGAAAGCAUUUGCCAAGGAUGUUUUCAUUAAUCAAGAACGAAAGUUAGGGGAUCGAAGACGAUCAGAUACCGUCGU